ensembl:lncRNA
UUUUACUUUAUGUAUAUAUUUUUAAUUAUUAUCCUCAUCUUUAUCAUAUCCAUAUUUAUUCAAUUAUUCUUUCCUGUGUGAAAAUAAUUAUAAUCACUUAGUUAAUAGCAACACCUUCUUUAGUCCAAUUGCAUUAGAUUAUCAUUACUGUGGUCCUAGGAAGACAAAAAACAAAAUAAAAACUAAACUUAAAGAAAAACAAAUUAGCCAUAAUGUGAAUAUCCACUGCGUGUCUCCCUGUGACCCUCUCCCUCCUUCAGGAGAACACGCUCUCUCUCCCUGCGUGUCUCCCUCCCACUUUGGGUGCGGCCAUAACGCCUUGAAGCGAGCGUGCUCCGGGGGCUGGGUGUGGGAGAAACCAGUGGUAGUUCCUUUUCUCGGCCAGCAGAGGGGUUGUUCAGGUGAAACCUAUGGACAGAGACUACAAAGAACUUCAAACAUGGCAGACGGGGAACUACAAAUUUAUCAAAGCCUGAAAACUCAACAGAGCUCUACCUGUAUUCCUUGGAUAUGUGGUAUUUUAUGGCGUAUGGCCACCACACGCUUUCAGUUGAACACACUCUCUAUUUCCUUUCUCUGUACUGUGUGUUAGUGUGUCUCUCUGUACUGCCUUAAUGGUGUAGGUCGACAAAUGGGGGUGGUCGGGGUUGUGGACGCCCGUGCACUGAAGGCCGGGUGCGGGGAGGUUUGUCUUCUUAACUUUUUUAGUAACUGGGAUAAUUCUUCUAGCAGGGGGUGAUCAAGAGUUGGGGUUGGAUUGGUAUUGAUGCUGUCCAGUAGGGGGCGGUGUAGUUGGGGAAGGGUAAGGUUGGAGUUGUCCAGCAGGGGGCAGUCUAGUUGGGGAAGGGUAAGGUUGGAGUGGUCCAGUAGGGGGCGCUGUAGUUGGGAAGGGGUAAGGUUGGAGUUGUCCAGCAGUGGGCGCUGUAGUUGGGGAAGGGUAAGGUUGGAGUGGUCCAGUAGGGGGCACUGUAGUUGGGGAAGGGUAAGGUUGGAGUGGUCCAGUAGGGGGGAUCUAGUUGGGGAAGGGUAAGGUUGGAGUGGCCCAACUUUGGCGGAGGGGGAGGUGUGGCUUGGGACUGAGUGAGAGAACUCAAAAAAUGGCGGCCGUGAUGCUAUAACUCUGUGUGGCUUGUCUAACACACGAGAGCGGAUGAGAGACUAGGGGGUAACUUUUGUCACUCUUGGAGGAGGAGAACGAGAAAAAAGGAGGAAAAAACAGGGGGGAGGGAAGCAAAAAACAACAACAGGGCCUAAAGACGUUAUUCAAUACAUCCAGAUAUUCUUCAUAGCCAAUAAUCGUUAUCUAUCUUUAUUGAUUAAUCUGCUUCAACAGACUAAACCGUCAACCAACGCGGCAAAGAGAUGUUGUUUAGUAUCGUAGUUUAUCUAUGCGACAGGUCCGGCAGUAAUUCAAAGAAACACAGUAAAAGAGAUAUCAUUUAUCCUUGUCAACUUGUCUAGGUCUAGUUUCAAUGGUUCAAACAGUAAAUUGAAGCGACACAGUAAAAAAGGUUAUUUAUCAUUGUCAAUUUAUCUAUUUCCGCAGGUUACGCCAUAGAGCAACGCAAUACGUCAGAGAGACAUUUAUUCAUUAUUAUCAAUCUAUCUAUUCCUACAUUUACCCGUUUUAACGGACAAAGAUAGAGCGGAU